AUUAGGACUAUUCAAGUUGAGCUCCAAACACCAUUCUUGUUUGGGACAUUGUUGAGUAUGUUGAUGAUUGUCUCCGUGCUGAGGUCGAGUACGGAUGUACUUUAUGGACGACAUCCGCUCCACAUUCCUUGUUGCCGUGAGGCCCGAGGUGAGGACACUCUGAAGGACGAAUGAAGAUAAAGAAUAGGAUCGACAGACUUGCUGGUUCCUACCAAGACAGAGGUGGCGCGUGCGCAGGAAGCUGAGAGUGAC